GGAGACCCAGCGCUCUUGUUCCAGGAAUCAGCUCUCCAUCAUUACAUGGCACCAGCACAAAGGCAGGUGGGCAGUGUGACUGAAGCCAGGCUGACACAGCACCCAGACCCAUUUGCACUGAAGGUCUGUAGACUAGGACUGCAGCCAUUCAGCAGAAUGCAUGAACACAGAAGCACUUUCCAUCUCAUGCAGACAGCUGAGCUGGGGGGAAAGGAGGUUGCACUUGUGAACCCCAGGUUUUUGAAGGAAGCUGAGAUGAGGAGAUGAGGAUGUAUGAAAAGACAUUGGGAAGACUAUUACUUCUGUGAGAAGCCUGGGUGCCAUGACCUGUUGAUAUGGGAGCAACAGACUAGCGAAUUUUUGUGUUAUAUUAGCUUUAUUUCAUGAAACUUGUUUAUAUUUAUGCAAAUGAAGUUGUAUCCCACUGAUUAAGGCUGUUUUAUUUUCGUUUGAGUCAUCUCACGAUGCAACCACUAGGAAGAUAAACCCACAGUAGAAACAUAAAAGAUGAAACAAAGUUCCUAUAAAAGUUGUCUAGAUUAGCUCUGUGAUGGGGGCCACAAGGGCCAGCUAUAUGCAGAAAUAAUGCCGAUUUAACUAAAACCUUUGAACUGAUUUAAUUAAAAUCAACAUAACCCCUACCUGCUUCUUUAAGAAAUAAAUGUAUUUGGUUGGAUGUAUAUUAAUUUUAGGCACAGAGACAGAUUGAAGAGUUCUUACAAAUGGGAGCAAGUCCCAGUUUAUAUAAAUCAAUUUACAAGUUGAUUGAAAACCUCUCUAUUUUCACACUGGGAGUGAGAAUGACAAAUGUGGUCUUUUUUUUUUUUUUCAUAUAGCUGUAUUGACUUAAAUGAUUACAGUCAUGUAACCCUGAUUACUGUAGAGAAAUUAAACAUUCUAUGUUCACAAUGCCAAAAAGAACUAGUGUAGUGAGAUCUUUACUAAAAGUUUUCCUAGAAAUUACUGCACAGCCUUCUUAAAAAUCAAUAAAUUGUUUUUCUUAUCAAGUGAGAAGAUUAUUUAUGCAUCAUAUCAGGGAUUAUCUCAAACACUUCAAAAGGCCAAAACAGGAAGGAAGGAAAGAGGAGGGAAAUGUCUAGAAAAUAAAUCUGUUUGACUCCUGCUGAGUUUCUGGAGUGUCAACUAUUUUUAGCUAUGUUUUGUAUUGUUUGUCUCAUAGACUCCACUAUGCCACAUACCAAAAGGAAAAUGUGCUUCCUGUCCCAGUAAGUUUCAGGCUGGUUUUAGAUUUUAGAUCAGUGGGAACACACAAGAAGAAGCCAAAGCAGAAAGGCUAACAUUCUAGAGGAAUAUGUCACAAAGAAACAUUUCUAUCUCAGUUUUAUUAUAACAUCAAAAAUCAAUCAAUCAAUCAGUCAAUCAAAGAUUAGAACUAACAAUGUAGGUUGUUGGAGUUUUUAACUCAUCUUUAGGAUCAGAAGAGUUAAUAAACCCAAGCAGGAAUCAUGUUUUCAUGUUUCUGUACAACUUAUUUCAGAGGGACUGAGCACUGAAGGAGCUUGCAUUAUAAAAGACUACUGCUUAGUUUGGUUCAAGUGUUAUUGUCUACAUUAAUACCAAUUAAAUGGAUAUUAUAAUGACAAGGAAGAAAAUUAAAGAA